CAACGGUUACUGGGUCAAGACACAGGAGAGGCUUAAUUAUUAGAAUGAGUCAUUUUUGAUUGAGAAAAACCAUGAAAGGUCAUGGUCUGGAAACUAAAAAACAUCUUGCAAAGGGACACUCAGAAAGCCAUCAACAACAUCGGUUCCCUUUCUUUCUGUCAGACUCUCCAAGGGUGACAUCUGGCCGAGGCUUGCAGUCGGCAUGCGAAGGGUUACAGCUGCAAUCGUUUUCUCUGGCUUGGCCUGAGCCCAGAGGCUUAAUAAAGGGAAUUAAUGGAGUGCACUAUCUGUCAGAUUCCUAAACACAGCUGGAGCGGAUGUUCAUCGCCCCCAAGCAGCCCGAAGAACUUACUAUCCUACUUGAACAACAUAAGCCCCUUCUUUCUUCCCCCAUAUUGUCCCCUGGGUGCUGACUCUGCAAAGGAACCCCAGCUGAUUGUGAAAGCUGUUUAUGUAUCAUCACUGACUAUAAUUACACAAUGUGGGAUAACAAACAGAGAGAGUGGAAGGGGGAAGGGGGGGCAACUGUUAUGAGCGUAUCAAAAUACAGUGAACUUUUUGGUCAUGCAUGGUAACAGCUGCGGUAAUGAUGUGCAAGCGGUACAAAUAAUCAAUGUAAAUGUGGUGAACUAAUAAUACGUGCCGCACACUCAUGAGCACGUGGCCAGUGAGUCCUGCGGCAUUUAACACGAAUGGACCCAGUCUAAGACAAUACUGCAGAGAACCCACACAGGCAGGCCAUCCACUCAAGGUUCCAUAUGUUUUAGACAUGUUUAAAUAACUAGAAAGUAUGCUAAAUGCUUGACUUUAAAGUCGGAUAACUUGAGAAGCCUAAUGUAAAAGGCUAUAUGUUCUACCGAACUGCUUUUCAUAACAAAGUAAAGCUUUUAAGCCUA